CAUUUGGUUGGGGAAGACUAGAAAAACUCAAUUCAGUUCAUGAUCCUAACAUUUGGAUUGUUUAUGAUUCUUUACCUUAACUAGUAAAAGCACAAAUGGAAAAAUUUGGUAGCUCCAAGUGACAAAAAAAAUUAAUAUUAGAUUUGCCCUCAUUGUGUUGUACAACUGAAAUAAAAUACCCCCCAUGUCCCAAUCCAUCACCAGUCGUCUUGGUCGGAGGAGUGCAAUAAUGCAGAGUCGAUUACUCUUAUGCACUGUUUUUGAUUCCCACAGAUGCAAUGGCGAUGGAAGUUGAAACCUUAAGCAAUUCAGCAAUAGUACGAGCCACUAGUUUGAAGAAAACUAGAACCAAGGAGACUUCUCCAGCAACUACAGUCCGAGGUUGAACGUGAAGAAAAAUUACUUUUUUGAAAAUUUAUAUAGUUGGAUCGUCUAUCACAAUUCGUCUUUGGAUUGCUUCUACCAUUAAGAACAACUUUUCAUUCAAGUUCUUAAUAUUAGAUGGAGGUUGCUUCCAUGGUCAUACAUUGGUUUUUAGACAACAAGUAUAUGCUCAUCCACAAAUCUAGGUCAUUUUCUCUUUUAUUUUUAUUUAUUUUUUUACUCCAUUAACAAUAAUUAAUUAUAUGAAAUUUAUUGAGAUGCCUAGUGUCAUGGUCUCAUGUUGAAUGUGCACUAGGAAGAUCUUCGACUUAUAAUGAUGGUUUGGACUCCAACAAUGUGAGAUGUCUUUUGUAGAACGAACGCACGAGGCAAGUGGACCAAAGAGAACAAUACCUCACCAUAGUUGGGUUCAGGACCCUUACACUUGGUAUUAGAGCCACACAAGGAGUACUAUCUUAUGGGUGAAUCUCGCCCAUAAAUAAUUCACUUGUAAAAAAAUAGACAUAAGAUCAAUAAUCUAUUUUUUUGUUGUGUUUUUUAGCCUUUUAUUUCAAUGUUUUCUCUUUUUGAUUUAUUCAAAAUAUAAACUUCUGUUAUCUUCAAUGUAAAGUAAGGAAUGUAUCGUCCAAUACUCAUAUUUCAAAAUCACAUU